rnacentral:lncRNA from 1 species
UUAUAGUUUUCUUGUUUUUUUCACAGUGUGCAAUGAUUUUUGGAAGCUUUUAUGUGGUCUUCUCAAGUUGCAAAAAUCACAAGUAAUUUAUGAUUCUCUUUUCAGAGGUAUUGUGGCUAGAAAACAAAUUAAACAUGGGAGAGUCUCUGCUGGUGGCAGCUAUCCUUCUGAACUUGUUAGAAGCCUAUCAAGGGCUCACCUAAAGAUAGAAUCAAAAUGCUUGCUAAGCUGUCAACACUGUGUCAAAUUUAAUAACAUGAUGUCCCUCUUUUCUGGAUGCCUGAGCUUCUGCCAUUGGAGUUUAUUUCCGUUCCUGAGUUUGUUUUGCUUUGACCGAAGAAACCUGCUUUAACCAGAGAAGACCAGUCUGUAGUAGAGGAAUUUAUCAUUCAACCAAAUCAAUGAGUAGAUUAGAUUUCUAAUAUGGAAGUUCUGUGAAGAAUUUGAAUAGGUCAGGAUUACAAGGCAGUGAGACUAUUCUUAAAGAAUAAAGAGAGGGAGGAAAGACACUUGGUGAAACUGACAUCGAGCUGUUCCAUAUUUAUAGUUCACUGGCAACUUCCAUAUCAAAUUUUCUCAAUUUCCAAGUCUGAACAAGAUUUUCCAAACUGUCAGCACUGCUGAACAACCUGGUUUCUAGAAAUCAUGAGGUGUUCUGCUUCCUUCUUCAGCUAUCUUCAGCAAUAAAGAUGCUGGGUUGAGAACUUUGCUGAAAUAAUGCUGCAUUCAUUUUGCAGUAUUUGGGCUUAUGUCCAUAGAUUUAUAUUAGUAAGUUAGCAAGGGAUGUCGUGGAGAACCUACUGGAAGCAAAUCUGUUGAGUAACAAAAUGCCAGCUUGCUAUACACCUUUUGUGAUGAAUAACUACUCUUUGAGGUGACUCAUUUUGAGAACAUUCUGGAGUUAUUUCACAAUCAGAGGUGGCUAAAGAGUCUAACAGAAUAGAUUCCUCUUCCACCUCCCACAACCCCUACAUCCCACUCACUUUUUGCCAUCUUUUGAAAUACUGUCCCUUCUUCCAUAUUCCCUUACAAGUUUCUUCAAUCCCACUAUAUUUACAUCAUGCUAACUUCUUCCUUCGUAGAAAAAGUGGUCAAUCACAGUGACUCUGAGAGUGAGUGGCCUUCCUCCUCAAUGUAACACACUGAUCCAUUUAGUAAAAUUCUAUGGAUUCCAUUUUAUUUGGGGAGGACUGGGCGAAUAAAUAAGAAAUCUGUAACCUUCAGGAUCCACCUAUAAAUGAGGAAUGAAAGUCAUAAUAAAAACAGAAAAAAGAGAGGCAGGGAGAAACACUUGUCCUUGAAAGGAUACGUCCUCUUUUUCAGGUCAGUACCCCCU